rnacentral:rRNA from 1 species
CCCUUAGAGUUUGAUCCUGGCUCAGAACGAACGCUGGCGGCGUGACUAACCCAUGCAAGUCGAGCGCGAAAGUGUCCUUCGGGGCGCGAUUAGCGCGGCGGAAGGGUGAGUAAUGCGUGGGUAACGUACCCCAGGCACGAGGAUAACCCACCGAAAGGUGGAGCAAUACUCGAUGAGACCACAGCUUCUUGUGUAUGCAUGAGGCAGUGGUCAAAGGGUGGGGAUCCUGACUUUGGUCAGGACCUGCCGGCCUGGGAGCGGCCCACGUCCCAUCAGCUAGUUGGUAGGGUAACGGCCUACCAAGGCGACGACGGGUAGCCGGACUGAGAGGUUGGCCGGCCACAUUGGGACUGAGACACUGCCCAGACUCCUACGGGAGGCUGCAGGGAUGAAUCUUCCGCAAUGGGCGAAAGCCUGACGGAGCGACGCCGCGUGUGGGAAUAAGCCCUUCGGGGUGUAAACCACUGUCAAGGGUUACCAAGCAAAUCCCCCUAAUACGGGGAGGCGUUGAGGAGCCCUAAAGGAAGCCACGGCUAACUUCGUGCCAGCAGCCGCGGUAAGACGAAGGUGGCGAGCGUUGUUCGGAAUCACUGGGCUUAAAGAGCGCGUAGGCGGCUUGCUAAGCGCUGGGUGAAAUCCCUCGGCUUAACCGAGGAAUUGCUCGGCGAACUGGUGGGCUCGAGGCAGGUAGAGGCGUGCGGAACUCUUGGUGGAGCGGUGAAAUGCGUAGAUAUCAAGAGGAACGCCGGUGGCGAAGGCGGCACGCUGGGCCUGUCCUGACGCUGAGGCGCGAAAGCCAGGGGAGCGAACGGGAUUAGAUACCCCGGUAGUCCUGGCCGUAAACGACGUCCACUAGGUCGGAGGUUUAUUGACGGACUUUCGACCGAGGCAAAAGCGUUAAGUGGACCGCCUGGGGAGUACGGUCGCAAGGCUAAAACUCAAAGGAAUUGACGGGGGCUCACACAAGCGGUGGAGCAUGUUGCUUAAUUCGAUGCAACGCGAAGAACCUUAUCCUGGGCUUGACAUGCACGGAUGCCUGCCCCGAAAGGGGUUAGGCUGCUCAAUUACGAGUGAAACGUGCACAGGUGCUGCAUGGCUGUCGUCAGCUCGUGUCGUGAGAUGUUGGGUUAAGUCCCGUAACGAGCGAAACCCUUGUCGCUAGUUGCCAGCGGGUCCUUUAUGGACGCCGGGGACUCUAGCGAGACUGCCGGUGUCAAACCGGAGGAAGGUGGGGAUGACGUCAAGUCCUCAUGGCCUUUAUGCCCAGGGCUGCAAACGUGCUACAAUGGCCGGGACAAACCGACGCAAAGCCGCGAGGCCGAGCAAAUCGGAAAAAACCGGCCCCAGUUCGGAUUGGAGUCUGCAACUCGACUCCAUGAAGGCGGAAUCGCUAGUAAUCGCAGAUCAGCAAUGCUGCGGUGAAUGUGUUCCUGAGCCUUGUACACACCGCCCGUCAAGUCACGAAAGCUGGGAGCGCCCGAAGUCGCUAGCCUAACCUCACGGAGGGCAGCGCCGAAGGCGAGCUUGGUAAUCGGGACUAAGUCGUAACAAGGUAGCCG